AAAAAAAAUGGAGAUCUCCAAAACCUGUUAGGGUACAUAACACUAUCUGAGCAAUGCCUUGUUCAUAAUAGGAUCAAGGGAGCGCACCCUCACUUACAGACAGGUGCGCCCAUCAAGGCAAUAUUCAGGCAGAACAAGAAGGCAGCAUAUGAGCGUGAGUCCUAUUGGCUCAUUUCAGGCUGCGUGAGCAAGUCUGAGAACAGAGAAACAUGGGAGAGAAGGGCCGUGAUAGCUUCUGAAACCAUCAGCUGCAGGAACGGUGGGAUGUGAGGUAACAAAAUUAAAAAAAAAAAAGAAAACAGUGGUUCAAACAAAAGAAAACAGUUGUCCGGCACUCUCUAAACUUUGCAUGAAAUUGAUACAUGUUAUCAUUCCUUUGGGGACACUUGGAAAGGUGAAGGGAUAACAAGAAACAAGUCUACUAGACAACUUUGCUGCACGCCUUCCCCUCCCAUCCCCAUCCUGCUGCCCCCCCCCCCCUCAAUUCCUGGCACAGCCACAUGAGCAUCUCCAAGCAGAGCAGAGCCAGCCCAGAUCCCACACACGUUUGCCCUGCUCACAGGGGUUGCCCUAGCAGAAAAGCCUUCUUGUGCAAGGCAAAUCAUUCUAAGUAAUACCUUAUGCUCAAACUCAUCAUUUCCUGAUUCAAGGACAAGAGCCAUAAGCAUGAGCUUGUGAAGAUUGUGGGGUUUUUUUCCCAUCACAGCCUAAAUUCUAAAGAGGCAUCAUUCUUACAGUCAUAUCAUUCUGUACUUCUCAGAGGAGAAAGCUGGGAAAAAGGAGAGUGCACAAGCAUAAUUUUAAAAGUUUGUUUGUUUUCCAUAGUAGUUGUCAGGCUGAUUUGCUAGCCUCCUUUGACUGCUGCUGCCUUGGUCUUACAACCACUUCUUCUCCACUGUGCCCUGCAGUGCACACCCAUUGCUUGGGAUGAGCUGUGUGUGUGUGUGUCUGUGCACGCAUGCAGCUACUCCCUUUGCACCAUAAGGGCAAAGCACCAUGCCAGAAAUGUGUUCUCUCAUUUUCAAAUAGCGUGGGGCUGAGACACAGCUUUAGCAAAAGAAAAAAAAGCUUCUAGCAAAGGAGGAUCUUCAGACAGAACAGCUUUGGAAAGGAACAGGUCACACAUUUCUUUGAGUCUGAUACUGCCUGAAGUUAACAGCUCACAUAAGAAGAAUAAACUGGUGGUGCUGUAAUUGAAUUUUUAUGGAAAUAAACAGGUGGCAGAUUUACUAUGGCUGCGGGGA